rnacentral:rRNA from 1 species
CCUACGGGAGGCAGCAGUGAGGAAUAUUGGUCAAUGGGCGCUAGCCUGAACCAGCCAAGUAGCGUGAAGGAUGACUGCCCUAUGGGUUGUAAACUUCUUUUAUAUGGGACUAAAGUGCAGUAUGUAUACUGCUUUGCAUGUACCUUAUGAAUAAGGAUCGGCUAACUCCGUGCCAGCAGCCGCGGUACUACGGAGGAUCCGAGCGUUAUCCGGAUUUAUUGGGUUUAAAGGGAGCGUAGGCGGGUUGUUAAGUCAGUUGUGAAAGUUUGCGGCUCAAACGUAAAAUUGCAGUUGAUACUGGCAGCCUUGAGUACAGUAGAGGUAGGCGGAAUUCGUGGUGUAGCGGUGAAAUGCUUAGAGAUCACGAAGAACUCCGAUUGCGAAGGCAGCCUGCUGGACUGUAACUGACGCUGAUGCUCGAAAGUGUGGGUAUCAAACAGGAUUAGAUACCCGAGUAGUC